GUGAGGAAUUUUCCGCAAUGGGCGAAAGCCUGACGGAGCAAUGCCGCGUGAAGGAUGAAGGCCUAUGGGUUGUAAACUUCUUUUCUCAGAAAAGAAUUAUGACGGUAUCUGAGGAAUAAGCAUCGGCUAACUCUGUGCCAGCAGCCGCGGUAAGACAGAGGAUGCAAGCGUUAUCCGGAAUGAUUGGGCGUAAAGCGUCUGUAGGUUGUUUAAAAAGUAUUCUGUCAAAGAUUAGGGCUUAACCCUAGAUAGGCAGAAUAAACUUUUAAGCUAGAGUUUUGUAGAGGCAGAGGGAAUUCCCGGUGGAGCGGUGAAAUGCGUAGAUAUCGGGAGGAACACCAAAGGCGAAGGCACUCUGCUGGGCCAAUACUAACACUGAGAGACGAAAGCGAGGGGAGCAAAUGGGAUUAGAAACCCUGGUAGUCC
rnacentral:rRNA from 1 species